rnacentral:rRNA from 1 species
AGUGAACGCUGGCGGUAGGCCUAACACAUGCAAGUCGAACGGCAGCAUAGUAAGAGCUUGCUCUUACGGGUGGCGAGUGGCGGACGGGUGAGGAAUACAUCGGAAUCUACUUUUUCGUGGGGGAUAACGUAGGGAAACUUACGCUAAUACCGCAUACGACCUACGGGUGAAAGCAGGGGAUCUUCGGACCUUGCGCGAUUGAAUGAGCCGAUGUCGGAUUAGCUAGUUGGCGGGGUAAAGGCCCACCAAGGCGACGAUCCGUAGCUGGUCUGAGAGGAUGAUCAGCCACACUGGAACUGAGACACGGUCCAGACUCCUACGGGAGGCAGCAGUGGGGAAUAUUGGACAAUGGGCGCAAGCCUGAUCCAGCCAUACCGCGUGGGUGAAGAAGGCCUUCGGGUUGUAAAGCCCUUUUGUUGGGAAAGAAAAGCAGCAGGUUAAUACCCCGCUGUUCUGACGGUACCCAAAGAAUAAGCACCGGCUAACUUCGU